AGGUCAAGCUACAACGGGCUCACGGUGGAUACCUAGGCACGCAGAGGCGAAGAAGGACGUGGUUACCGACGAUACGCUUCGGGGAGCUGGAAGCAGGCUUUGAUCCGAAGAUUUCCGAAUGGGGCAACCCUGUAUACGGCCACCUGAAUCCAUAGGGUGGCGCGAGCGAACGCAGCGAACUGAAACAUCUUAGUAGCUGUAGGAAGAGAAAGAAAACUCGAUUCCCGUAGUAGCGGCGAGCGAACUGGGAAGAGCCUAAACCAGUGGUUUUUACCACUGGGGUUGUGGGACAGCGAUAUGGACUCGAGCGGUUAGACGAAGCAUUGGAAUGAUGCACCAGAGAAGGUGAAAGUCCUGUAGUCGAAAACUUAACGAUACUAGCUGAAUCCCGAGUAGCACGGGGCACGAGAAAUCCCGUGUGAAUCCGCGAGGACCACCUCGUAAGGCUAAAUACUCCUGCGUGACCGAUAGUGAACCAGUACCGCGAGGGAAAGGUGAAAAGAACCCCGGGAGGGGAGUGAAAUAGAACAUGAAACCGUGAGC
rnacentral:rRNA from 1 species